rnacentral:rRNA from 1 species
GACGAACGCUGGCGGCGUGCUUAACACAUGCAAGUCGAACGAUGACGACCGAGCUUGCUCGGUCUGAUUAGUGGCGAACGGGUGAGUAACACGUGAGCAACCUGCCCUUCACUCUGGGAUAACCUCGGGAAAUCGGGGCUAAUACCGGAUAUGAGCUCCUGUCGCAUGGCGGGUGUUGGAAAGUUUUUCGGUGAAGGAUGGGCUCGCGGCCUAUCAGUUUGUUGGUGAGGUAGUGGCUCACCAAGGCGAUGACGGGUAGCCGGCCUGAGAGGGCGACCGGCCACAAUGGGACUGAGACACGGCCAAGACUCCUACGGGAGGCAGCAGUGGGGAAUAUUGCACAAUGGGCGAAAGCCUGAUGCAGCGACGCCGCGUGAGGGAUGACGGCCUUCGGGUUGUAAACCUCUUUCAGCAGGGAAGAAGCGAAAGUGACGGUACCUGCAGAAGAAGCGCCGGCUAACUACGUG